UACGUAGGGACCAAGCGUUGUUCGGAUUACUGGGCGUAAAGGGCGCGUAGGCGGCGUGGUAAGUCACUUGUGAAAUCUCUGAGCUUAACUCAGAACGGCCAAGUGAUACUGCUGUGCUAGAGUGCAGAAGGGGCAAUCGGAAUUCUUGGUGUAGCGGUGAAAUGCGUAGAUAUCAAGAGGAACACCUGAGGUGAAGACGGGUGCUGGGCUGACACUGACGCUGAGGCGCGAAAGCCAGGGGAGCAAACGGG
rnacentral:rRNA from 1 species